AGAGUUUGAUCCUGGCUCAGGAUGAACGCUAGCUACAGGCUUAACACAUGCAAGUCGAGGGGCAUCAGGAUGUAGCAAUACAUUGCUGGCGACCGGCGCACGGGUGAGUAACACGUAUCCAACCUGCCUUUUACUCGGGGAUAGGCUUUCGAAAGAAAGAUUAAUACCCGAUGGCAUAAUAUUUCCGCAUGGGAUUAUUAUUAAAGAAUUUCGGUAAAAGAUGGGGAUGCGUUCCAUUAGGCAGUUGGCGGGGUAACGGCCCACCAAACCUUCGAUGGAUAGGGGUUCUGAGAGGAAGGUCCCCCACAUUGGAACUGAGACACGGUCCAAACUCCUACGGGAGGCAGCAGUGAGGAAUAUUGGUCAAUGGGCGAAAGCCUGAACCAGCCAAGUAGCGUGAAGGAUGACUGCCCUAUGGGUUGUAAACUUCUUUUAUAGGGGAAUAAAAUGAGCCACGUGUGGCUUUUUGUAUGUACCCUAUGAAUAAGGAUCGGCUAACUCCGUGCCAGCAGCCGCGGUAAUACGGAGGAUCCGAGCGUUAUCCGGAUUUAUUGGGUUUAAAGGGAGCGUAGGUGGACAUGUAAGUCAGUUGUGAAAGUUUGCGGCUCAACCGUAAAAUUGCAGUUGAUACUGUGUGUCUUGAGUACAGUAGAGGUGGGCGGAAUUCGUGGUGUAGCGGUGAAAUGCUUAGAUAUCACGAAGAACUCCGAUUGCGAAGGCAGCUCACUGGACUGUUACUGACACUGAGGCUCGAAAGUGUGGGUAUCAAACAGGAUUAGAUACCCUGGUAGUCCACACAGUAAACGAUGAAUACUCGCUGUUUGCGAUAUACAGCAAGCGGCCAAGCGAAAG
rnacentral:rRNA from 1 species